UUACAAUCUUCUCGUUUUAAGAAGAAAAUUAAAAAGAAGGAGGAGAGCAAGGUUUUUGGCCAUGGCGUUUUGUGGAGCAGUGUUAGCAACGUCGGUACAGAGAAACGUGUGGAUGUGGAGUCGCAGCCAGGAGUGGUGGGAUACUGAUAUACAUAUUGUUGAGGAAUUGGCUCUGGCUGUUCUGGUGAUGAGUGGAUUGUGGGUAAAUGCACACUUACAUGUGGUCUCUGAUCCUUUGAGGGGGUCGCUGCUGUCCUCUCCCACCACUGAGUGAACCCUCACGAUGUACUCCGUCAGCGGAGUGAGAUUCUCCAAGACCACGGUCGUCACCGUCCCGUCGACAAACAACUGCAACAGAGGAACAGAAGAAGAACUGGUCUGCUUUUAGACAUUUUUUUUUUUCUUUUGGAGCCUGGAAGGUCUGUCUGUACCUGGAUCGAGUUUCAAGGUUUCAUCAUGAAAAGGUCAAAGCCUUCAGGGAUUGCAUUAUGUAAAAAGGAAAAGAAAAUAAAAACCUUUGAGGACAGCCCCAUCAACACGCUGACAUAAUAGAGACACUGCAUUUUAGCCACAAUUCAUCACAUUUAAGUAUUGUACAUUAUUAUCCUCAAGACAUUUUAUCAGAAAGAGGUCGAUCAGAACUACAGAAUUAAUGCAUUAAUAUCAGUCUCUUUGUAAAAAAUGCCUUAAUGCAACCUCAAAAGCGUUUAUAUGCCACCUUUACAGUGUAAAUUUUCAUUCUUUUCCCCUCAGAAACACUGUAUCUCUCAGCCUCAGUCAUACAGUACCUGGACCCUUG